AAGUAUUCUUGUAAAAUGUUUAGAUUAUUAUUUAUCGCCGUUGCAGUGAAUGCAGCCAUACAGUUAUUACCUGAGCCCGGUGAUUUGGCUUUACACCUUAGCGAAGAUGAAUUUGAGGAUUAUUUGGACAAAUGGAUUGAUAUGGAUCAGCGGAAAUGGAUGAACUCUACGAGCGAAUCGACCGUUCGCAGUGGCUGCAGUCUUCGAGUGAAUGGAGAUUUCGCCGAACCCCAGCCAGUUUUCAUUCGUAGAAGCACCAACUCAUAUCUUCAUCCGUUUGACAAUUCUGGAAUUGUGCGACUUAAUGCUGGUGAACAGGUGACCGUAGCUUGUCCAGGACGCACAAUUGUUCAUCCCCGCGCUUUUACAACCACAACUACAGCAACUAUUCAAUGCUCGAGUGGAACACAAAUAACAGGACCAGGUUUCAUUGACGGAAGAGGUGCGUUUAAUCAACUGACUUGCACUAACCAUGCUUUUCAUGAAGCUCAGGAAACAAGCCAACGUUGCCAUAAUAACAACAUUGUUAUUAGGGUCGGUUUCAUAGUAAACAACGUGUUCCAUACAGUCUUCAAUUCGUGCUUCGACAAACAGCGAUUUGAAGUACUAUAUGUGUGGAUGCCUAUGGACGCGUCGAACGCUGUUCACCAAUCUGGGGUGACCAGACCGAGCUGGAUAGCGGGAAAUUUCUUUCCCGGAGUGGGAGCGAAUAAUCUUUACACUCAAGUUCAACAAAAGCAAGCUAUAGCAAGGGUAGUAGGAGAGGAAUUGGCCAAUAGAUAUGUCACAACCACACAGUUCUUGGCAAGAGGACACCUGGUCGCUAAAAGUGACACCGUAUUUGCACCAGAACAGCGCUCCACAUUUUACUUUAUUAAUGCUGUGCCUCAAUGGCAGCCUUUUAAUGCUGGUAACUGGAACUGGCUGGAACAGAAUCUACGAGCUCGUAUCGGUGCCGUUGGUUACAAGUGUAUGAUCUACACCGGCAGCUUCGGAGUAACUCAAUUAAGAAAUCAAAAUGGACGCUUUGUAGACAUUUACCUUGACAAUACGAAUGGAAAUCGAAGAUUGCCGGUGCCUCUUUAUAUGUAUAAGGUGGCGUACGACGCAAGCAGACGUGUUGGAACUGCUUUUAUUAGUAUUAACAAUCCUUACUACACAUUAGCUGAAGCCCGAGCUCUGCAGUUCUGCACAGAUAGGUGUCGGAAUAACAACUCCUUCAGCUGGCUAAGAUGGCAGCCAGAUCGAGUGGAUCUUGGUUAUAGCUUCUGCUGUACUAUCGCUGACUUCAGAAGAGUAGUACCCCACCUGCCAGCUUUUAGUGUUAACGGAUUACUUGCAUGUCUUGAAGAAAAGUUGAUUAUGAUGAUUUUCUUCGUCGAUAUUGCACGCUAUACAAUGAAAUUCCUUCUACUUGUCACGUUGUUCGUAGCGGUGUCUUCGAUCCCAACAGAGUUGCCAUAUCCAGAUGAACUGGUCUAUAAACUCGGGGAAGAGGAAUUUGAGGACUAUGUUGAUAAGUGGAUAGAAUUCCAACAACGGAAAUGGACCAACACGUCCGAAGGAACUACCACCAGCGCUAGGAGUGGAUGCACUCUGAAUGUGCGCAAUGACUUCUCAAGUCCACAGCCAGUUUUUAUACACAGAUGGUUGAACAACUACCUAGCACCACAUGGCAACACAGGACAAGUUCGCCUCAACACCGGAGACGAAAUUAUUGUCGCGUGUACUGGAUCCGGACGUCAAAUACGACACCCAAAUAUCAUUUCCAAUGUUGCUGUUGCAACGGCAAGAUGUGUGAACAAUAACCUGGUGUCUGGUGCAGGUUGGUUAAACGGAAAUCGCGCUUUCAGACAAUUGACAUGUAAUGACCAUUCUAAUAGUCAAGCCGUUGAGACAAAUGAGAGAUGUUAUGGCAAUAAUGUUGUUAUAAGAGUCGGAUACGUCGUGAAUAACGUAUUUUAUCCAACUUAUUGGUCGUGCUAUGACAAGCGCCGAUUCGAAGUACUGUAUGUUUGGUAUACCCAAAAUCCAAGCAACUCUGCUCCUCAGACUGGCGUUGACCGACCUAACUGGAUGGCUGGAAACUUCUUUCCGGGAGUGAAUAUCAACAACCUGUACACGAGGAAUCGCCAGCGCGAAGCAAUAGCUAGAUCGGUUGGGAACAACAUGGUCGAUAGAUACGUGACCAAUCAGCAGUUUCUGUCACGUGGUCACCUCAUUGCUAAGAGCGACCAGGUCUUCGCUACUGGACAGCGAGCAACGUUCUACUUCGUGAACGCUGGACCUCAAUGGCAACCGUUUAAUGGUGGAAAUUGGAACAGUCUCGAAUUGAAUCUUCGUGAUCGCAUUGCCCGUGCGGGUUACCAAACAACAAUUUACACGGGAACGUUCGGAGUCACACAACUUCGUAACUCAGCCGGUCGUUAUGUUGACCUAUUUCUCGACAACACUGGCAACAAUCGUAGAGUACCAGUUCCCCAAUACUUCUACAAGGUUGCAUAUGAUGCAAAUAGACGCAUUGGUACUGCUUUUAUUGGUAUCAACAAUCCUUACUACACAUUAGCUGAAGCCCGAGCUCUGCAGUUCUGCACAGAUAGAUGUCGGAAUAACAACGCCUUCAGCUGGCUGAGAUGGCAACCAGAUCGAGUGGAUAUUGGUUACAGCUUCUGCUGUACUAUCGCUGAUUUUAGAAGACGUGUUCCGCACCUGCCAUCUUUUACUGUUAACGGGUUGCUGUUAAAGAUGAAGAUUUUGGUACUUUUGACGCUCUUUGUGGCGACUUUCUCGCUACCAACGGAGAUGCCACAUCCAGAUGAAAUGGUUUUCAAGCUUGGAGAGGAAGAGUUUGAAGACUAUUUGGAUAAAUGACUGGAAAAAGAGCAGAGCAAAUGGUAUAAUAUCUCUGAAGUACAAACCACGAAUGCUAGAAGUGGUUGUUCACUGAACGUGCGAAACGAUUUCGCCAGUCCCCAACCAGUGUUUAUUCUUAAAAAAACAAAUAAUUAUCUAACUCCAGAUGGUAAUUCUGGAGUAGUUCGUUUAAAAACUGGCGAUGAAGUUAUAGUCGGUUGUAAUGGCCGUCAAAUUCGUCAUCCAAAUAUUGCUGCAACUAAUAUCGCUGUUGGUACUGUAAGGUGUGCUAAUAGCAAUCUAGUGUCGGCUCCGGGUUUGCUGAACGGAAACCGGGCUUUUGGUCAAUUGACAUGUAACAGUAAUGUCAAUAGUGAAGCCGUGGAGACUAAAGAAAAAUGUUAUGGCAAUAAUGUUAUUAUUAGAGUUGGUUACAGUGUUAAUAGAGUAUUCUACCCUCUUUAUACGGUAUGCUAUGAUAAAAACCGUUUUGAAGUUCUUUAUGUGUCAUACCCUCAAACUCCAAUAAAUGCUGUACAACAAACGGGAGUCAGCAGGCCUAGUUGGCAAGCGGGUAAAUUCUACCCUGGUGUAGAUAUUAACAAUCUGUACACGCAAAACCGACAUCGCGAGGCCAUAGCAAGAGCAGUGGGAAACAAUAUGGUGGACCGAUACGUCACAAGUAAACAGUUCUUGGCCCGUGGCCACCUUCUGGCGAAAAGUGAACAAGUAUUUGCCGUCGGUCAACGUGCAACGUUCUACUUCAUCAAUGCCAGUCCUCAAUGGCAACCCUUCAAUGGUGGAAACUGGAAUAAUCUGGAACAAAACCUACGGAGUCGUAUUGCCCAAGCGGGCUACCACACAACUGUUUAUACAGGAACAUUUGGCGUCACACAGCUUCGAAACUCCGCCGGCCGUUUUGUUGACAUUUAUCUCGAUAACACUAACAAUAGGCGCAGAGUACCCGUACCCCUUUACUUUUACAAGGUGGUAUACGAUGCUAGCAGACGCAUUGGUACCGCAUUCAUUGGUAUCAACAAUCCAUACUACACGGUUUCUGAGGUCAAGGCUCUGCAGUUCUGUACAGACAGGUGUCGGAAUAACAACGCUUUCAGAUGGCUCAAGUGGCAACCAGACCGUAUUGACAUGGGAUACAGCUUUUGCUGCACUAUUAAUGACUUUAGACGCCGAGUACCUCAUCUUCCACAAUUUCAAGUUAACGGCCUUCUGUCAUAAGCAUCAAACAUCGAACCUCCCCGGAUAUCUCUCUAAAUACAAUUUUUUAGGUUUAUAAUUUUUUUUAAAUGUAUACAUUAAAUCAGAAUAAUUAUCUUGGUUUGUAUACAUUUUUGUUUACAUGAAGUAUCUAUGUGUGAAGCAAUAAUAUAUAUCUACAGUUUUUU